AGCCAGACCAACCUGUUGGUAAACUCUCUACGGCCAUCCAUGGCAGUGUCAUUCCCAUUGUGACUGUGACUGUCAUCUUGGUCAUUGGAGCUCUGAUCUACAGAUGUAACGAAAACUUUAGGAUGAUGCUCGGACGAUGCAUGGGAAGAGAAGGAGAAGGAGAAGGACAGACGGAGCCAAACAAAGUUGAGCUGAAAAACCUGAUGAACCACG